AGAGCCACACCGGCAGGGCUAGUUCAUUUCCUUUUCUAUAAACUGGGAGUAGAGAUUCCUGACUUACCUCAGUCACCAGGCUAUUGUGAAAAGGAAGGACUGACGUUUUAUUAGAUUUUUUUUCUUACAAUUUAAAAAGACAAACAAAAAACACCUUUGGAAUAGUAAACGUGGGGUUGGCGGAGUUCUGAGAGUUUCCUUGUUAUUCCAGGCAGUCGUCAGAGGGCUUGCUUUCUGAUUCUUAGGCUUAGAUUAACUAGAAUGAAAUAUGUAUAUUUGAGUUGAAUCUGUUAAAAAUUUUAAAAAAAUCUGUUGAUAAUUUGAUUCAGAGGAGUGGGGUUACACAUUCAAAGUACUUUUCCUCUUUCACUGUGUUCACAGUUGAAUUGUUGAUUUUAAAACAGGCCUGAAUGGUAGUUUCUGAACUAAUGAGUGGGGCUAUUUGUGCUGCGAGAGAUUAGGUCAGCCUUCCACCUCCGGGAUCUUUCAGGAAGAAAUUGCUCUUGAAACGAGGAGGGGGACCCAGGGCUGCUGCCAAGAGCUUUCGCUGCUGCUCUCUGCAUCCGGCCCCUCCCUUACCACCCCAGCUUCUUACUCUCAUCCUCCUGGCUUCUUCAGAAAACCUCAGCCAUUGGUUCCCAUCAGUCUCCCCCAAGUCCUUGCUUCCUGCUCCCUUCUCUGCCCUGAGCUUAUUUUAGACCAUCAAGGUUGGAAGACAGAUCGGCGAUAAUUGAGGCCACCCCCCUGUAAGAGAGAGGUACAGAAAUCUCUUUCAGGGUCUGCAUGGUAGCCUCAGACCUGGAAGAGCCUUAAGAUCAGCCAACCUACUUUUAACCAGGAGGAGACCAACCCCAGCAGCUUGCCCAGUUCGGGGACACCGUGAGGAAUUUUCAUCCACUGUUCUUGCCCUACUCGUAUAAAGGGUCUCCAGUGGCCUCCCAUACCCUUGUGGUGAGGAGGAUUGCGUCAAGGGUGAUGAUGUUACGGAAGGUUCCUUGGAGAGCAGGCUUCGUGUAUCCCACUGGGGACCUUGAGAUUGCUAGCUCGAGCAGACGAGUUCCGCAGUCUUUCCUCACUACUGGAAUUCAGAGUGAUCCAGGGAAAGGAAUAAGCAACAAUCCUCUGUUACCUGUCAGGGCAUCCUCCAGUCCCAGCCCCUGUCCACAGGGUAGCAUCUGUCCUUCAGUUCUUCUCUGAUGCAUUUCCUGUGUAGAUAUGGACUCAGGUUCAUAGUUAAAACCUUUUUUAACCUAAACUGUAUGUACAUAUGCGCAACGUAUUUUUUUCUGGUUAGUAACAUGUGUUACAACUCUCUUCAUGGUAUUAAAUACAAACAUACAAAACUCAUUGUGUAUACUGUACCACCAAAUAUGUAUUAUAGUUUUACUGUAUUGAUGGACAGCAAGGUUACUUCUGGGUUUUACUGUUAUAAAUGAAAUGCUUCCACGAACAGCUUUCUAAAUGUUUUUGGGUAUGUGUGCCUGCAUGAAUGCAAGUAUUUUUCUGGGGCAAAUACUUAAAAAAGAUGACAGGAUUGACAUCAAGCGCAUUACAUCUUUUAUAGGUAGCACCAAAUUGCCUUUCUAAAAUGGCUGUGUCAUACUAUUGCCAGGAUUGGAUAUUAUCAAAUGAUUUAAUUCUUUAAUAUUUUCCCUAAUUACCAGUGAUGUUAAGCCUGUCUUUAUAAUAUUUGUUAAAUAUAUUUUAUUUCUUUAGUGCGUGCCAGU